CUGUGUGCUCUGCAUGUGUGACCAUUACAGAGGUUUUCAUCCUCUGGUUUUCUUCUAUUUUAUUCAGACUAAGGGACUGCAGGUUGUCAGAGAUCAGCUGUGCUUCUCUGGCCUCAGCUUUGAAGUCCAAACACUCCCAUCUGAGAAAGCUGGACCUGAAAUACAAUAAGCUGCAGGAUUCAGGAGUGAAGCUGCUGAGUGAUCUUCUGGAGAGUCCAGACUGUAGACUGGAGACUCUCAGGAUAAAUGACGAGUGGAUUACUGCUCAGAAACAGAGGAUCUGACCGAGAUUGGAAAAUUGCCCGACUAGUGUGCAACCUGACUCAGUUCUCCCACACUGCUCCCUUCAGUUGCUAAUGCCCAUAUUGGUGUCAAGAGACUGGUACUGGCCUAUCAUAACAGGAGACAAAUCUACACAUUUUCCGUUGCUGACUGCAUACCCACCUGUGUAGCUUGUACCUUGACCCAACACACUGAAUGAAGGAAUUAUAGCACUUUAAGAGCCCAUUUAGAAAAAUACUAGCUAAAUGAAAUUGAAUGCAUAACAGGUUUUAAUUUAUGUGAAGGUUUUUCAGUUACAUUACAUGUUAGACACUUUUAUCCAAAGCGACUUACAUACUCAAUACUGUGGGCAAUCCCCACAGGAGACA